CGUGGAUCGAUUUGUCUGGUUUAUUCCGAUAACGAGCGAGACUCUAGCCUACUAAAUAGUAGCGGGAUUGCUACUGUCCUAGCUGCUUCUUAGAGGGAUUUUCGGUGUUUAGCCGCACGAGAUUGAGCAAUAACAGGUCUGUGAUGCCCUUAGAUGUCCGGGGCUGCACGCGCGCUACACUGGCGAAAUCAGCGUGCUGUAUCCAUUCUCGAAAGGGAUUGGUAAACCCAUGAAAAUUUGCCGUGCUUGGGAUCGGAAAUUGCAAUUAUUUUCCGUGAACGAGGAAUUCCAAGUAAGUGCGAGUCAUCAACUCGCUCUGAAUACGUCCCUGCCCUUUGUAC
rnacentral:rRNA from 1 species